rfam:Pseudomonas alcaligenes NBRC 14159 DNA, contig: PA6005.
CCGUGACGCCGGGCCCCUCUGACGGUUUGCAGCCGCCAUGUCGGAGUCAUAGU